GGGAGAAUUGAUGAUGCAUUAUCCAUAGACAUCACUGAAUGUAAGAUGAUGAUCAAUAUACAUCAUGCACUACCAUCUGAUCUCUA